UCUGACUCUGAAUUUAUUUGUGUAGUUUAAGAACUUUUUUUUUUAAAUGGUAUCCAAAUAUAUUUAUAGUAUAUAUUAUUACAUUUGAGAUAGUCCUAGUAUUUAUUAUUACGUUUGAGAUAUUUUCUUAUCUAAAACGAAUAUAGUAUGGUAAUUCAGGUAUGUAAUAACAGAUUUGGAUAAAGCAAGUUUGGAUAUUCUCCAGUUACAAAAAAAAAAAGGUUUGGAUAUUCUAUUAAUUAAAAACAACUUUGACAUUCGAUAUACUGUACAUGUACAGUUUAAAGAAAUUAGUAUCUUUUGAAUUAUUUAGAUAAACUCUUUACUCCUUAUAGUUACUAGAGCCGAUGUCCGCGCUUCGCGCGGAUUACAUAUGUAAUUAAAAUAAUAUUUUAUUAAAAUUUGGAGUUUUAGUUUUUGAAAAUGUGAGUUAAAUUUUUUUUUUUUGGAUGUGAAGACGUAGAAACAAAAUAGUUUGAUAGUAGAAAUAAGUAAUUGUCCAAAUGGAAUAGAAUUCGGUAGAUAACAAAAAAGAAUUAAAAUAAGAUAAGAUGUAGACAAUAUCUGUGAAGUAUAUUAUGAAUGAUUUUGUAGAGCGGCCACUUUCUAUUGCGGGCGGACCUAUAGAUAAAAACAAUUUUGUUAGUACAUCUUAAUUAUUGAGUUUGAAGAGUUUCGGGUGGGCAGACUUACUGGUAGUUUGCAUCUUAUGGUAUAGAAAGUUGUUUAAGAUUUCGGGAAGUCUGCUCUGGGUGAUCAUCGGAUCGUGAUUCUGGAGGAGAGAGAAAGGAAUUUAGUAUUUUUGUAUAAAGUUGUAUAUUGGGUUGCAAAUAAUAUUAGAUUACCUGGUAGGUGCGAUAGACCGUUGUAUAUUUCUUUGUGGACAAUGUUUUUAACCCUUCCUAUCUUUUGAUCUUUUCCUUAUAUAAUUUUGAGGCCUGACUUGGUAGUAACUCGGGAAAGACCAACAUAGAGCUGUUCAUGGGUGAAAACGGGCUGUGGCAAAUACAGUACGACACCUUUCAAACUCUGACCCUGACUUUUGUUAAUUGUCAUUGCGUAACAUAGCCUGAUUGGAAAUUGCCGCAGAUGGAGCUGUUCGGGAAUAAGUAGAAUAAGUAAAUGAAAUUAUUUUGCUGGAGCAAGUAGUCGAGACAUGUCUCUAUUAUAUUUGGGCUUUUAAUAAUUGAAAAAUAUAGAACAUUGCUGGAUUAAGUGAUUUAAUUUUGUGUAUACCUUUCACUUUAUUCCGUACUCCUAGUGGACGUCCGCGUUUACGUUUCGUUGUGUUCGAACUUGAUGACUUUGAUAUUGGUAAGAAAAAUAUUACUAAUAAAUUAAGUUAUGAUUAUAACAAAUAAAAUUUAAUAAGAUGUCAAAUAAUUCGAGACUAUGACUUUCCUUGUUUUAAUAUAUGUGAAUUUCCAUAAUAAGAUGUCAAAUGAUUUAAUAUCAGUUUUUUUUUUGUUUUAAAAUAUUAAGUAAGUUUAAACAUUCAAUUAACAUCUGAGGGUUUGGAUUUUAAGAUCUGAGGUACGGGUAUGGAUUUUACGAUCUGAGGUAAAGGUAUAAAUAGGGAUCUAGAUAUCAUUGAGACGGAGAGGGUAUGUGGAAGGUCUGUGGGGAUCAUGAAUGGAGGAUUUAUGAGAGCACAUUGAAGUACCAUCACUCUCAUCAGAGGCGUUAUGGAGGAUGAGUUGGGGAAGAGGAAGAGAAUUGCGAAACAGAGCGAGACGCCGCUUAGGAAUAGGGAUGAUGAUUUCAGACGAAGGGGCGAUAUAACCCGAACCGUAAGAGCGGUCUCUGGAUUUGUCUGGGAGUUGGGCUUAAUGAGCUGUGACACAAAAUACAUAUGAAGAGAGGCAGGGGGAUGAGGCUAUGGACUGGGCCGUGAUGAUUUUGUUUUUUUUUUGUAAUUUCAAGCCCACUUCGUUAUGACCUGGCAUAUUGGUUGGUCCUGAUUAUUUUGCCCAUGUGGAUAGUCUUAGGAAGCUAGAAUUUAGCUUCUUUUAUAUAGUGGGAUAUUAACGGUUUAUUUCGGUUAGCUCCGGUUUGAUUUGGGAAUAAAAAAAGACAGAAUUAAAGUAAUCACGUUUUCGAUUUAAUCUGAAACUGUUAAAACUCUCCUUCCGGGCAAAACACAAAAACCAAACCUACCAGAAAAAGGUCGAAAAGGAAAAUCUUUUUAAAUGAAAAAGGAGGAGCAGACAAGACGAAGAUUCGCUUUAGGGUUUUGUCUCCUCCUCCGUCGAAUUCGUAUGUCUGAUUCUCUCUCUCUCUUUUUCUUUCUCAAAUUCGCGUGAGGUUUACGGUGGUUGAAUAUUUACUCAGACGGCGUGGAGGAAGUGGGACGGUGAGGAAGUGUGUGUGCGUGUUCAGAGAUGGCGCAUAAUAGCGUUAACGUGGUAGCGACCAAGACGAAGCCUCAAUCGUCGCGGAGUUGGGUUAGUAUAGUGGCGACGGGAGAGAGUGAGGCGCUAGAUGUUGAUAAGUAUGCUAUCAUGCACCGUGUCCAGAUCCACGCUCGUGAUCUUCGGAUUCUUGACCCGAAUUUAUCUUACCCGUCUACUAUUCUUGGCCGUGAGAGAGCCAUUGUGCUCAAUUUGGAGCAUAUCAAGGCGAUUAUCACUUCCGAAGAGGUUUUGCUACGGGAUCCAUCAGAUGAACAUGUUAUUCCCGUUGUGAAGGAGCUUGAAAGACGCUUACCUGUUGGUAACGAAGAACACCAUGGUCAAGGAGAUGGGAAAGAGAACUCAAAUGCACAUAAUGACGCUGAUGCUGGCGAAGAAGAUGAAUCCCCAUUUGAGUUUCGGGCGCUUGAAGUUUUCUUGGAAGCAAUCUGCAGCUUCUUAGCUGCAAGAACAACAGAGUUAGAAACAGCUGCUUAUCCUGCUUUGGAUGAGCUUACAUCAAAGAUUAGUAGCCGUAACUUGGAUAGAGUUCGGAAGCUGAAGAGUGCAAUGACUCGGUUAACGGCUCGAGUUCAAAAGGUAAGAGAUGAGCUGGAACAGUUGCUGGAUGAUGAUGAUGACAUGGCGGAUCUUUACCUUUCGAGGAAACUCUUCAGCGCUUCCUCAGCGUCCACUAGUCCAAAUUACUAUCUCACUUCCCCAACAAUAGGCUCCAAGAUCUCGAGAGCGAGCAGAGCGAGUCUAGCCACAGUUCGUGGGGAUGAAAACGAUGUUGAAGAGCUUGAGAUGUUGCUCGAGGCAUACUUCAUGCAAAUCGACAGCACUUUGAACAGAUUAACAACAGCUACGUGAGUAUAUCGAUGACACAGAGGAUUACAUCAACAUCCAGCUAGACAAUCAUCGUAAUCAGCUGAUUCAGCUGGAGCUUGUGUUGAGUUCUGGAACCGUUUGCUCAUCGUUUUACUCUCUGGUCGCUGGAAUAUUCGGGAUGAACAUUCCAUACACAUGGAACAAUGACCAUGGAUACAUGUUCAAAUAU